AUUGAACGCUGGCGGCAGGCCUAACACAUGCAAGUCGAGCGAGCGGCGGACGGGUGCGUGAUGUAUGUGGGCUGCCCGCUAUAGGGGGAUAACUACUCGGAACGGUGGCUAUUAUCCCAUACUGUCGGAUAACACCUAUGGGAUUAGCUAGUAGGUAAGGUAAUGGGUUACCUAGGGGACGAUCCCUAGCUGGUCUGUGAGGAUGAUCAGCCACACUGGGACUGAGACACGGCCCAGACUCCGACGGAGGGAGCAGGGGGGAAUAGUGCACAAUGGGGGCAAGCCUGAUGCAGCCAUGCCGCGUGGAUGAAGAAGGCCCUAGGGUUGGAAAGUACUUUCAGUCGGGAGGCGGUAACGACAGAAGAAGCACCGGCUAACUCCGGGCCAGCAGCCGCGGUAAUUC
rnacentral:rRNA from 1 species